rnacentral:rRNA from 1 species
UACGUAGGGUGCAAGCAUUAAUCGGAUUUAUUGGGCGUAAAGGGCGCGUAGGCGGAGAGGCCAGUCAGAUGUGAAAUCCCGAAGCUCAACUUCGGAACAGCAUUUGAAACUACUUCUCUCGAGGGUAGGCGGAGAAAACGGAAUUCCACAAGUAGCGGUGAAAUGCGUAGAUAUGUGGAAGAACACCAGUGGCGAAGGCGGUUUUCUAGCUUAUACCUGACGCUGAGGCGCGAAAGCAAGGGGAGCAAACAGG